UUGACCUCAAAUCAGGUAGGACUACCCGCUGAACUUAAGCAUAUCAAUAAGCGGAGGAAAAGAAACUAACAAGGAUUCCCCUAGUAACUGCGAGUGAAGCGGGAAAAGCUCAAAUUUGAAAUCUGGCAGUUCUUGACUGUCCGAGUUGUAAUCUAGAGAAGUGUUACCUGUG
rnacentral:rRNA from 1 species